CCUGAUCCAGCCAUACCGCGUGAGUGAAGAAGGCCUUCGGGUUGUAAAGCUCUUUCAGCCGGAAAGAAAACGUACCCAUUAAUACUGGGUGCGGAUGACGGUACCGGAAGAAGAAGCACCGGCUAACUACGUGCCAGCAGCCGCGGUAAUACGUAGGGUGCGAGCGUUAAUCGGAAUUACUGGGCGUAAAGCGUGCGCAGGCGGUUUUUUAAGCCAGAUGUGAAAUCCCCGGGCUUAACCUGGGAACUGCAUUUGGAACUGGAAGACUAGAGUGUAGCAGAGGGGGGUAGAAUUCCACGUGUAGCAGUGAAAUGCGUARAUAUGUGGAGGAAUACCGAUGGCGAAGGCAGCCCCCUGGGUUAACACUGACGCUCAUGCACGAAAGCGUGGGGAGCAAACAGGAUUAGAUACCCUGGUAGUCCACGCCCUAAACGAUGUCAACUAGGUGUUGGGGGAGGAGACUUCCUUAGUACCGUASCUAACGCGUGAAGUUGACCGCCUGGGGAGUACGGUCGCAAGAUUA
rnacentral:rRNA from 1 species